AUUAUUUUGGCAGAUUAGUGCGAAGGAUUUAGAAUCUUUACAUGUAAAGUUUAUUACAAAUAAUA